GGGGGCGAAAAGGUUUCGACGGGGGUAGUUGAGGCUUCAGUGGCAUGUCGAGGUGUCGGCACUCGUAAAACACGGCAUAAAACAACUGCAGACGAAUAUCAUACGCCUGCACUGGCAAUGGCUGCGUAAGCAGACGUGCCAUGCACAACCGGGUCAAUAAGCACCCGGCGUUCAAAAUGUCCUUUGCCUGCGAGGCAUGGCGAACGUCAACAAAGCAGGCUAGCUGCCUUUUAUGUUUAGGGGAAGGUCGGCGAAACCUCUACUAAACUGGCGCGGCGACUAUCCUGUCGUUGGGAGGAUCGUCGCGUGAGACUAAAACAACGACUACACAUGUAGAUGCUGGACGCUGAAUAUCUUCGGACCGGGGUUCGAUUCCCCGCGCCUCCACCA
rnacentral:tmRNA from 1 species